ACAUGAGACGACAGAAGACGUGUUUGCAGAAGUUGAACAGGUACCACCCUUCCGGAUGACAGGGGCUAAUGUAAACGGAAGUGGUGUGGGUUUCAUUUUUCAUACAUGCACUGUGUGACCCAUCUACAUGUCUGUGUUUUAGUGUGUAGCUUAAUGCCAGUAAUGCAUUACUGCAAGAAAAUGUCAUUGCACAUUGCAUUUUAUUAGACAAAAUAAAGCAGGUGAAACCUGUUUUUAUUGGUCAGGUUGUACUGUUUUGAUUGUGAAGUUAGGUGUAUCAUUUGUGAAGGAAAUUAAUUUCUGAAGCGUAAAUAUUCAACAAAUAUAGCAUACUAUUUGGUAUAAAUACAGAAAGCAACUGCUCAUUUAAUAAGAUUGUUAUAUUUUGUAUUAAGAGGUUUUUAGACUUGUAGUACGUUUAUUUAUUCACUAGGUGGGUUCUGUCAAUUUUGGUAUUUGUAGAUGUACGUAGACUAGCACAGAAGUGUAGCUUUCCGUUUGAGCCUACUUUGUUUUUUUGUUUUGUUAUCAAGACUGAACAGUUUUGUUAUUAUUCUUUUUGUAAAUAAUUAUUAUUGUGCAUGCAGUUUUAUGACUUCAUGUUAGUUAAAAAAAUUGUUCACAGUUUAUUUAUAGAGUGUUUAAAAUGAACAAUAAAGUGGAAAAGAUAUUAAUAAUGUCAUACAUAAUGCGGCGUUAAUUCCAAAGUUGCGCAAUGACGUCGUGCGUGACCUGCCGGGGGUUUCCAGGGCAACUUGAAUUGUUUUAGGAUUACGGCGUGCAGGCGGAACUAUUCAGUCGCUUGGAUAAAUUACUAUUUUGUAACGAUCUUGCUUUUAAUCUUCAAACGACCGUACACAACAGCCUAAGUGUUUUGGGAAUGAAUUGGGAACAAUCAAGCACACAGGUUUGUGAGCACAUCAGAUGUGAGGACCUCCAGAUGAUGCUCCACAGUCAAGAGAUCCAGGGCUUUCUGAGACCUCUUUCACAACUCUGCCACAUGGAAGUCAAUUCUGACAGGAUGACAGACAGGUCUAAGGAGGUGAAAUCAGCGUUUUCAGCUUAUAAGAAGAAUAAAAGCACUCCAACCUCUUUGACACAGUUGUGCAAACAACUGGAGGAGAGAAUCACCCGGAAAUCACAGCAUUACUCCAUCAGCCAUGAAGACAGACAGUCUCUGUCUGCAGUGCUGACCUCUGAGCUGAGUCUGAUCUGGCAAGACCUGAAAACCCUGUCUGUGGACACCACGCUGACCCAGGAAGAGAAAGUGCAGCUGAACUACCAGACCUUCAGUGAGGUGCUGCACAUCUGUGAGCAGCUGUUUCUGCAAUCCUUGCACCUGAUGGAGACUCUACGGAGGCGAGGUGUCUUCAGCGAUCAUAUCAACCGCAGCAGGGUGGCAGCUCAGCUCGCUAUUGACUGCACCAGUCUCUUGAAUGUUCGCUCCAUAAGAUGCAGGAUUGUCACAGGUAUCAAGGAUGCACGGAAGUGCAAACAAAGUGCUGUUACACAUAACAAUGAGAGGUCCAGGACAGCCACAUCAUGGGAAAAAGCAGUGGAGGAUGACCUCAAAGAGAUUCAGGAGAACAUCGGAGAGCUGGAUCUGCAAUGUGUGUAUGACCUCCUGCCCUGUAACAUGGAACCAAUCACCUAUAAGACAGACACACAAUGUUCUACAGCCAAUAAGCCGAACAUACUGAAACAAGAGCAGCAUCAGAGUCCUCCUCAGAACCGGCUGGUCAGAAUAAAGGGAUGUCAUUCCAUGCCUGACCUACAGAGGGAAACACUGCUGGAGGAGCUGGAGAUAAGGCUACUCGAUCCACCUCCAUCCCCAUUAGUCCUAUUGUCCACAGAUCCCACCUCCAACCUGGAGAAACGCAUCAGUCCUGGGGAAGAUCUGAAGAGAUUAUUACAGGAGAGAGAUUUCAAGGAUGAUGGUAACUGUGGGACGGAUCUGUGCUCGCUUAUAGAAUCCCUAACCUGCUAUAGUUCCAGCAGACUCCAAAGGCUCAAACAAAAACUACAGAAAAUGGAGGAGGAGGAGGAAACGAAGAAGCACAAGGUUCUUGUGAAGAAACCUCUGCAUCCACAAGGAGAUGUGGUCAGUGUGACGUUUUCUCCUCAGAACAUCAUGCGCACAGCAGCGGCCCAGGUGUCCGACAGGGUUCUCCUGGAGACCAUCAAACUCAGCAUGUACCCACCAGUCUACAAUGACCUCACUAAGGAGAUUGAUUCCGCAUCGGUCACUCUGAUGGAUCAGAACUUGGUUGAAGAAAAAAAUGGAUAUAAGCAAAGUUUUUGA
rnacentral:lncRNA from 1 species